CCAAGUAGCCUCGAUACUCUAAAAGCACUGGAUCUUGUUUGAUUUUGGAAGCUAAGGAGGGUCGGCCCUGGUUAGUACUUGGAUGGGAUACUGCCAAUAAACACCAGAUACUGCAGGCC
rnacentral:rRNA from 1 species